rnacentral:rRNA from 1 species
GAUGAACGCUGGCGGCGUGCUUAACACAUGCAAGUCGAACGAAGCACUCUAUUUGAUUUUUUUCGGAAAUGAAGAUUUUGUGACUGAGUGGCGGACGGGUGAGUAACGCGUGGGUAACCUGCCUCAUACAGGGGGAUAACAGUUGGAAACGACUGCUAAUACCGCAUAAGCGCACAGUACUGCAUGGUACAGUGUGAAAAACUCCGGUGGUAUGAGAUGGACCCGCGUCUGAUUAGCUAGUUGGUGGGGUAACGGCCUACCAAGGCGACGAUCAGUAGCCGACCUGAGAGGGUGACCGGCCACAUUGGGACUGAGACACGGCCCAAACUCCUACGGGAGGCAGCAGUGGGGAAUAUUGCACAAUGGGGGAAACCCUGAUGCAGCGACGCCGCGUGAACGAAGAAGUAUUUCGGUAUGUAAAGUUCUAUCAGCAGGGAAGAUAAUGACGGUACCUGACUAAGAAGCACCGGCUAAAUACGUGACAGCCGCCGCCGUAA